AAAGAAACCAACAGGGAUUACCUCAGUAACGGCGAGUGAAGCGGUAACAGCUCAAAUUUGAAAUCUGGCCUCACGGUCCGAGUUGUAAUUUGUAGAGGAUGCUUCGAGCAUGGUCUGGCCUAAGUUCCUUGGAACAGGACGUCAUAGAGGGUGAGAAUCCCGUAUGCGGCCAGGUGCCUACGCUCAUGUGAAGCUCCUUCGACGAGUCGAGUUGUUUGGGAAUGCAGCUCAAAAUGGGUGGUAAAUUUCAUCUAAAGCUAAAUAUUGGCCAGAGACCGAUAGCGCACAAGUAGAGUGAUCGAAAGAUGAAAAGCACUUUGGAAAGAGAGUUAAACAGUACGUGAAAUUGUUGAAAGGGAAGCGCUUGCAACCAGACUUGCGCGCGGCCGAUCAUCCGGUGUUCUCACCGGUGCACUCGGCCGUGCUCAGGCCAGCAUCGGUUUUGGCGGCUGGAUAAAGGCCCUAGGAAUGUGGCUCCUCUCGGGGAGUGUUAUAGCCUAGGGUGCAAUGCAGCCUGCUGGGACCGAGGACCGCGCUUCGGCUAGGAUGCUGGCGU
rnacentral:rRNA from 1 species